GGCUCAGGAUGAACGGCUAGCGGCAGGCUUAAUACAUGCAAGUCGUGGGGCAGCAUGAGUAGCAAUACUUGAUGGCGACCGGCAAACGGGUGAGGAACACGUACACAACCUCCUUCAAGCGGGGAAUAGCCCAGAGAAAUUUGGAUUAAUACCCCAUAAUAUAUUUGAUAAGGCAUCUUAUUAAUAUUAAAGCUUCGGCACUUGAUGAUGGGUGUGCGGCUGAUUAGAUAGUUGGCGGGGUAACGGCCCACCAAGUCUACGAUCAGUAGCUGAUGUGAGAGCAUGAUCAGCCACACGGGCACUGAGACACGGGCCCGACUCCUACGGGAGGCAGCAGUAAGGAAUAUUGGACAAUGGACGAAAGUCUGAUCCAGCCAUGCCCGCGUGAAGGAUUAAGGUCCUCUGGAUUGUAAACUUCUUUUAUAUGGGACGAAAAAAGGGCAUUCUUGUUCACUUGACGGUACCAUAUGAAUAAGCACCGGCUAACUCCGUG
rnacentral:rRNA from 1 species